GAAAAUAAAGUACUAAGUAUUUCUUAUUUACAAUAAGAAGGUCUAGAUUUUUUAGUAUUUUCA
rnacentral:tRNA from 1 species